GUCGGGUAAGUUCCGACCUGCACGAAUGGCGUAAUGAUGGCCAGGCUGUCUCCACCCGAGACUCAGUGAAAUUGAACUCGCUGUGAAGAUGCAGUGUACCCGCGGCAAGACGGAAAGACCCCGUGAACCUUUACUAUAGCUUGACACUGAACAUUGAGCCUUGAUGUGUAGGAUAGGUGGGAGGCCUUGAAGUGUGGACGCCAG
rnacentral:rRNA from 1 species